rnacentral:rRNA from 1 species
UACGAAGGGGGCUAGCGUUGUUCGAAAUUACUGGGCGUAAAGCGCACGUAGGCGGAUCCUUAAGUCAGGGGUGAAAUCCCGAGGCUCAACCUCGGAACUGCCUUUGAUACUGGGGAUAUCGAGUCCGGGAGAGGUGAGUGGAAACUGCGAGUGUAGAGGUGAAAUUCGUAGAUAUUCGCAAGAACACCAGUGGCGAAGGCGGCUCACUGGCCCGGUACUGACGCUGAGGUGCGAAAGCGUGGGGAGCAAACAGG